rnacentral:misc_RNA from 1 species
UCUCCGUUGGUGAACCAGCGGAGGGAUCAUUACAGAGUUGCAAAACUCCCUAAACCAUUGUGAACGUUACCCAAACCGUUGCUUCGGCGGGCGGCGCCCAGCGCCCCCCCGGCCCCUCGCGGGGCGCCCGCCGGAGGUACCCCAAACCAUUGAUACUUUAUGGCCUCUCUGAGUCUUCUGUACUGAAUAAGUCAAAACUUUCAACAACGGAUCUCUUGGUUCUG